ACCAGAACCAACACACUGAGGCAAGGGCCGCGGAAUGGUUGAAUGAAUCCUUCCCUGUGAAAAUGUGGUGCUCUUCUGUGCUGAUUUGUAUUUUCCAAGCGCGUAGUACAGUGCUCUGCACACAAUAAGGUAACUGAGGCCCAGAGAAGUGGAGCGACUUACUCAAGGUCACGCAGCAGACGUGACACCUCAGUUCUUCCUCUGCGCC